rnacentral:tRNA from 1 species
AAUAAAGUAAGCUAAAUUUAAGCUAGUGGGUUCAUACCCCAAAAAUGAAUAAUUCCUUUAUUA